AAUCAACGCUGGCGGCGUGCCUCAGACAUGCAAGUCGAAACGCGAAAAGCUCCCUUCGGGGAAGCAAAGUAGAGUGGCGCACGGGUGAGUAACACGUAGGUAAUCUACCUUUGGAUGGGGAAUAACAACCGGAAACGGUUGCUAAUACCGCAUAAUGCAGCGGCACCUAAUGGUGACAGUUGUUAAAGCGGGGGAUCGCAAGACCUCGCGUCUGAAGAGGAGCCUGCGGCAGAUUAGCUAGUUGGUAAGGUAACGGCUUACCAAGGCGAUGAUCUGUAGCCGGCCUGAGAGGGCGGUCGGCCACACUGACACUGACAUACGGGUCAGACUCCUACGGGAGGCAGCAGUCGGGAAUUUUGGGCAAUGGGCGAAAGCCUGACCCAGCAACGCCGCGUGAAGGAUGAAAUCCCUCGGGAUGUAAACUUCGCAAGAACAGGAAGAAUAAGUCGGUGUAAAUACCACCGACGAUGACGGUACUGUUUGUAAGGCUCCGGGCUAACUCCGUGCCCAGCAGCCGCGGUAA
rnacentral:rRNA from 1 species